UUUUGAGCCGCUUGCUCGAGCUUACUCUUGUUUUGUGCGUUGUCUUCAAUACAUCUGUGCUUUCAUUACUUCUUUCUUCUGUUGCUUUGUUUUUCGUUGCUUCAUUUUUUUUGUUACCUUGUUUGCUCAUUUUGUUCAAUUCUUUGCUCAACACCCAAGAACCUGCACAACUCUGGUAACAUUUUGGAGAGCCAGCCAAGAGGCAAAUUAUGGUAAUCCAGCUGAAAUCCAUGGGUAGUUUCUCACCAUAACCUUGUAACUGACCUCUGUCCUGUGAAUUCAGGAGUGGAGCUGGGACUUGGCAAAAUAUUACAUAUGUACUCUGAACAGAACAAAAUUCAGAGGAAAUCUUUCUUCUUGGCCUGUGGACAUGACUCUGACUAAGCAUUUUUAUAAAGAAGUCUAGGAUCUUCUUCCUAUGUGGCUAUGUGGAGAAAGAAAAGCCCUAGAGGGUGAGAGAUCACAGGAUGGAGAAAGGCACCAGGAGAAGAACCAAGAUACCCUAAUACAAAACUAGCACCAAGUCCCCCAGAUAAGUAGGUUAAAGAUGUGACAUUUCCUAACAGCACCAAGGAAGGAGCACCAGAGAACAUGAAAAGGCACUCAAGCUAAGUGGUCUGUUGAACUUUGCAUAUCUUCCUCUUUGUCAAUGAAAGAAGGCAAAACCAAACCUAAAUGAAACAAAACAAAGAACUACUUACAAGGAGUUUUAAAAUAUCUCAAUCUCUGCGUUACUUAUGUAACCCACAGAGUAUAUAGAUGACCACUUAGAGGUAUUCCUACUAUUAACAAAGGUAUUAGUAUCUGUGUUUUA
rnacentral:lncRNA from 1 species